rnacentral:rRNA from 1 species
CCGCGGUAAUACGUAGGGUGCGAGCGUUAAUCGGAAUUACUGGGCGUAAAGAGCGCGUAGGCGGUCUGUAAAGUUAAGAGUGAAAGCCCAAGGCUCAACCUUGGAACUGCUCUUAAAACUCACAGACUAGAGAUUGGUAGAGGAUGGUGGAAUUCCUAGUGUAGAGGUGAAAUUCGUAGAUAUUAGGAGGAACACCGGUGGCGAAGGCGGCCAUCUGGGCCAAUACUGACGCUGAGGCGCGAAAGCGUGGGGAGCAAACAGG